CCUACGGGAGGCAGCAGUAAGGAAUAUUGGACAAUGGUCGCAAGACUGAUCCAGCCAUGCCGCGUGCAGGAUGACUGCCCUAUGGGUUGUAAACUGCUUUUGUACGGGAAUAAACCCUUCUACGUGUAGAAGGCUGAAUGUACCGUAAGAAUAAGGAUCGGCUAACUUCGUGCCAGCAGCCGCGGUAAGACGAAGGAUCCAAGCGUUAUCCGGAUUUAUUGGGUUUAAAGGGUGCGUAGGCGGAUUGAUAAGUCAGUGGUGAAAGCCUGUUGCUUAACAACAGAACUGCCAUUGAUACUGUCAAUCUUGAAUAUGUUUGAUGUGGGCGGAAUAUGACAUGUAGCGGUGAAAUGCUUAGAUAUGUCAUAGAACACCGAUUGCGAAGGCAGCUCACAAAGCCAUUAUUGACGCUGAGGCACGAAAGCGUGGGGAUCAAACAGGAUUAGAUACCCUGGUAGUCCACGCUGUAAACUUUGAUCACUCGCUGUUGGCGAUACACUGUCNGCGCGAGACGAAGACGUUAAGUAGAGUCCACCGUGGGUAGGUACGAGUCGCGAGAGUUAGUAACGUUACGAAAGAAGUUAGGACGGCGUUGGAGACGNGCCGACGGACGACGACGACGGGAGGUUAGG
rnacentral:rRNA from 1 species